rnacentral:rRNA from 1 species
UACGUAGGUGGCAAGCGUUGUCCGGAAUUAUUGGGCGUAAAGGGCGUGUAGGUGGAUAACUAAGUCUUGUGUCUAAGUGCGGGGCUCAACCCCGUAUAGGCGCAGGAAACUGGUAAUCUAGAGUGCAGGAGAGGAAAGUGGAAUUCCCAGUGUAGCGGUGAAAUGCGUAGAUAUUGGGAGGAACACCAGUGGCGAAGGCGACUUUCUGGACUGUAACUGACACUGAGGCGCGAAAGCCAGGGGAGCGAACGGG